rfam:Streptomyces qinglanensis strain SCSIO M10379 C1057, whole genome shotgun sequence.
GGGUGGGUAGGGGAGCGUCGUGUGCCGGGUGAAGCAGCCGUGGAAGCGAGUUGUGGACGGUUCACGAGUGAGAAUGCAGGCAUGAGUAGCGAUACAUGCGUGGGAAACGUGUGCGCCGAUUGACUAAGGGUUCCUGGGUCAAGCUGAUCUGCCCAGGGUAAGUCGGGACCUAAGGCGAGGCCGACAGGCGUAGUCGAUGGAGAACCGGUUGAUAUUCCGGUACCCGCUAUGCAGCGUCAGACAUCGAAUCAGGUGAUGCUAAGUCCGUGAAGCCCCUUGUUUUCUUCGGAAGACGGGUGUGGUGGAGCCGACGGUCCGAGCUUGUAGUAGGUGAGUGAUGGGGUGACGCAGUGAGGUAGUCCAGCCCGGGCGAUGGUUGUCCCGGGGUAAGGGUGUAGCCCGAGGAGCAGGGAAAUCCGUUCCUCGUUACAGGGGUGAGACCUGAUGCCGAGCCGUUUGUGGUGAAGUGGAUGAUCCUGUGCUGUCGAGAAAAGCCUCUAGCGAGUUGUGUGGCGGCCCGUACCCUAAACCGACUCAGGUGGUCUGGUAGAGAAUACCGAGGCGUUCGGGUGAACUAUGGUUAAGGAACUCGGCAAAAUGCCCCCGUAACUUCGGGAGAAGGGGGGCCAUGUCUGGUGAGGGCACGUGCUGUCCGAGCUGGGUGUGGCCGCAGAGACCAGCGAGAAGCGACUGUUUACUAAAAACACAGGUCCGUGCGAAGCCGUAAGGCGAGGUAUACGGACUGACGCCUGCCCGGUGCUGGAACGUUAAGGGGACCGGUUAGUCACAUUUCGGUGUGGUGAAGCUGAGAACUUAAGCGCCAGUAAACGGCGGUGGUAACUAUAACCAUCCUAAGGUAGCGAAAUUCCUUGUCGGGUAAGUUCCGACCUGCACGAAUGGCGUAACGACUUCUUGACUGUCUCAACCAUAGGCCCGGUGAAAUUGCACUACGAGUAAAGAUGCUCGUUUCGCGCAGCAGGACGGAAAGACCCCGGGACCUUUACUACAGCUUGAUAUUGGUGUUCGGUUCGGCUUGUGUAGGAUAGGUGGGAGACUGUGAUGCGGACACGCCAGUGUUCGUGGAGUCGUUGUUGAAAUACCACUCUGGUCGUGCUGGAUGUCUAACCUGGGUCCGUGAUCCGGAUCGGGGACAGUGUCUGGUGGGUAGUUUAACUGGGGCGGUUGCCUCCUAAAGAGUAACGGAGGCGCCCAAAGGUUCCCUCAGCCUGGUUGGUCAUCAGGUGGUGAGUGUAAGUGCACAAGGGAGCUUGACUGUGAGACUGACGGGUCGAGCAGGGACGAAAGUCGGGACUAGUGAUCCGGCGGUGGCUUGUGGAAGCGCCGUCGCUCAACGGAUAAAAGGUACCCCGGGGAUAACAGGCUGAUCUUCCCCAAGAGUCCAUAUCGACGGGAUGGUUUGGCACCUCGAUGUCGGCUCGUCGCAUCCUGGGGCUGGAGUCGGUCCCAAGGGUUGGGCUGUUCGCCCAUUAAAGCGGUACGCGAGCUGGGUUUAGAACGUCGUGAGACAGUUCGGUCCCUAUCCGCUGCGCGCGUAGGAGUCUUGAGAAGGGCUGUCCCUAGUACGAGAGGACCGGGACGGACGGACCUCUGGUGUGCCAGUUGUUCUGCCAAGGGCAUGGCUGGUUGGCUACGUUCGGGAAGGAUAACCGCUGAAAGCAUCUAAGCGGGAAGCCUGCUUCGAGAUGAGGACUCCCACCCCC